rnacentral:rRNA from 1 species
CGGGAAGCGAGCGGAUCCCUUCGGGGUGAAGCUCGUGGAACGAGCGGCGGACGGGUGAGUAACACGUGGGCAACCUGCCUGUAAGACCGGAAUAACCCCGGGAAACCGGGGCUAAUGCCGGGUAAUACUUUUCUUCGCAUGAAGGAAAGUUGAAAGAUGGCUUCUUGCUAUCACUUACAGAUGGGCCCGCGGCGCAUUAGCUAGUUGGUGAGGUAACGGCUCACCAAGGCGACGAUGCGUAGCCGACCUGAGAGGGUGAUCGGCCACACUGGGACUGAGACACGGCCCAGACUCCUACGGGAGGCAGCAGUAGGGAAUCUUCCGCAAUGGACGAAAGUCUGACGGAGCAACGCCGCGUGAACGAUGAAGGUCUUCGGAUCGUAAAGUUCUGUUGUUAGGGAAGAACAAGUACCGUGCGAAUAGAGCGGUACCUUGACGGUACCUAACGAGGAAGCCCCGGCUAACUACGUGCCAGCAGCCGCGGUAAUACGUAGGGGGCAAGCGUUGUCCGGAAUUAUUGGGCGUAAAGCGCGCGCAGGCGGUUCCUUAAGUCUGAUGUGAAAGCCCACGGCUCAACCGUGGAGGGUCAUUGGAAACUGGGGAACUUGAGGACAGAAGAGG